rnacentral:tRNA from 2 species
GGAAGGUUGCCAGAGUCCGGCAAUGGGCCCGCUUGCUAAGCGGAGACGGCGUCAGCCACACAGGUUCGAAUCCUGUACCUUCCGCCA